UGAACCAGCGGAGGGAUCAUUAAAGAGUAGUUUUUUACAACAACUCCAAACCCAU
rnacentral:rRNA from 1 species